CUGCUCACUUCAGCAGCACAUACACUAAAAUUAAAAUGAUACAGAGAAGGUUAGCAUGGCCCCUGCACAAGGAUGACAUGCAAAUUCGUGAAGCAUUCCAUAUUUUU
ensembl:snRNA U6 U6 spliceosomal RNA